GUUUCGGUGAUGAUAGCGGAAGUGAAACACCUGGUUCCAUUCCGAACCCAGAAGUUAAGCCUUCUAGCGCCGAUGGUACUGCAGGCGGGAGCCUGUGGGAGACUAGGUAGUUGCCGGACU
rnacentral:rRNA from 1 species